CCUACGGGAGGCAGCAGUGGGGAAUAUUGCACAAUGGGGGAAACCCUGAUGCAGCGACGCCGCGUGAGUGAAGAAGUAUCUCGGUACGUAAAGCUCUAUCAGCAGGGAAGAAAAUGACGGUACCUGACUAAGAAGCCCCGGCUAACUACGUGCAAGCAGCCGCGGUAAUACGUAGGGGGCCGGCGUUAUCCGGAGUUACUGGGUGUAAAGGGAGCGUAUACGGUACCACAGGUCUGGAGUGAAAUCCCGGGGGUUAACGCCGGAACUGCUUUGGAAACUGUGGGGCUGGAGUGCAGGAGCGGUAGGCGGAAUGCAUGGUGUAGCGGUGAAAUGCAUAGAUAUUAGGCAGAACACCGAUGGCGAAGGCAGCUUACUGGACUGUAACUGACGUUGAGGCACGAAAGCGUGGGGAGCAAACAGGAUUAGAUACCCCAGUAGUC
rnacentral:rRNA from 1 species